rnacentral:rRNA from 1 species
CCACGGAGGCUGCAGUGGGGAAUAUUGGACAAUGGGCGAAAGCCUGAUCCAGCCAUGCCGCGUGUGUGAAGAAGGCCUUCGGGUUGUAAAGCACUUUCAGUGGGGAAGAAAGCCUUGGGGCUAAUACCCUCGAGGAAGGACAUCACCCACAGAAGAAGCACCGGCUAACUCCGUGCCAGCAGCCGCGGUAAUACGGAGGGUGCGAGCGUUAAUCGGAAUUACUGGGCGUAAAGCGCGCGUAGGCGGUCUGAUAAGCCGGUUGUGAAAGCCCCGGGCUCAACCUGGGAACGGCAUCCGGAACUGUCAGGCUAGAGUGCAGGAGAGGAAGGUAGAAUUCCCGGUGUAGCGGUGAAAUGCGUAGAGAUCGGGAGGAAUACCAGUGGCGAAGGCGGCCUUCUGGACUGACACUGACGCUGAGGUGCGAAAGCGUGGGUAGCAAACAGGAUUAGAUACCCGAGUAGUC